UAAAAAUCGCGCCCCGGCGCUGGCCCAAAAUCUGACAUUUUCUACUCCAACGUCCUUUGGGAAAAUGGUCAUAACGUCUUCGUCCGAACUCCGAUUUUGAUGAUUAAAGAUGUUCCAGAAAGAGGAGAAGUAGAUCUACAACUUUCAUUCUUGAAGUUUGUCGAAAUAAUGUCAAGAGCUAUAGUCAAAUUGUCUCCGAAGUGGCUGAUGUGUAAAUGGCAAGCCGAAAACGCGAAUCUAGCCACCCCAAACAUCGAUCCAUGUAACUUUUAUCCCAAUUCCUAUAAAAUAACAUAAAACAUGCAUGAAUAGACACAAACACAUAAAAACAUCCUAAAAGACUUAAGAACAACAAUAAAUUAAGCCCGAA
rnacentral:lncRNA from 1 species